UACGUAGGGGGCAAGCGUUGUCCGGAAUUAUUGGGCGUAAAGCGCGCGCAGGCGGUCAUUUAAGUCUGGUGUAUAAACUCGGGGCUCAACUCCGAGUCGCACUGGAAACUGGGUGACUUGAGUGCAGAAGAGGAGAGUGGAAUUCCACGUGUAGCGGUGAAAUGCGUAGAGAUGUGGAGGAACACCAGUGGCGAAGGCGACUCUCUGGGCUGUAACUGACGCUGAGGCGCGAAAGCGUGGGUAGCAAACAGG
rnacentral:rRNA from 1 species